GACAGAGGGUGCAAACGUUGCUCGGAAUCACUGGGCGUAAAGGGUGCGUAGGCGGGUCUUUAAGUCAGGGGUGAAAUCCUGGAGCUCAACUCCAGAACUGCCUUUGAUACUGAAGAUCUUGAGUUCGGGAGAGGUAAGCGGAAUUCCUGGUGUAGCGGUGAAAUGCGUAGAUAUCAGGAGGAACACCUGUGGUGUAGACAGCUUACUGGACCACUUCUGACGCUGAGACACGAAAGCGUGGGGAGCAAACAGG
rnacentral:rRNA from 1 species